rnacentral:lncRNA from 1 species
UGCUGAUGUUUUUACAGUUUUCAGGCCAGCCGAGAGACACAGUCCCUCUUCCAGCCAAUCCAAUAGAAUAAUAUAAGUAUAAUAACAUAAAAUAGGAAUCUAUAUUUAUUCAUCAAUCUGUGUUAAAAUGUAUUUUAUAUGUAAAAAAAAAAAAAAAAAAAAAUUCUAUUUGUCUUGGUCAAUCUCUAGGCUAUUAGCUUGCUCCUGUUUUGGAAGAUGGGUCGUCCGUCCGAUCAUAAGAAAAGGUAUUCAUCUUCCAUGCCUCCUUCAGCCACCUGAGCCAGCGCACCUGAGAUCCACACAGAUAACAAAUAACCCUGAUCCAAUCCUUCACCUAACCCUAACCCUUGCCACCAAUACAAGACAAGGGAACCCACAAUGGACCUCUAUUCUCGGUUCUUAAAUUUGUUAAAAACAGGGUGAACAACACAAUAUACAAAAUUGAUCAAGAAUUCAAACCACAAACCAAUAACUGCAUUUACAUGAUCUCUUGUGCAAAAUGCGGUAUCCAAUAUGUCGGCGAGACUAGAAAUUCAAUCACAAAGAGGAUGUGGCAACACACUUACAACAUUAAACACAGAAAACGAACGGAUACUCCAAUAGUACAACACUUUAUUAGACAUGGGAUACAGUCACUUCGAGUAGCAGGAUUACAGAGUCACAUAUAUUGGACAGACAAACAGAGGAAAACUUUGGAAAGACAAUGGAUUUAUAAACUUAAUACACGAGAACCAAAUGGUCUCAAUAUUAAAUAUUAGUAAAUAGUUACAUAAUAGGUUUAAUGAUCAGAGUAGAAAUGACCAGCAGGAUGGCAAAUACAAGCUAAAUUUAGGCCUUCACUCAAAACCACUGGGGUACGUCUGCUUUAGCCCUAACCGCAGACAUAACAAUUUUUUUUGCCUAAACCUAACCAUUUAUCUACUUUUUGCCUAACCCUAACCGUCAUUAUACUCUUUAUUUAAUCCCUAACCCCCCACCCAUUCCAUCACCCUAACCCUAACCGUCUUUGUAUUUCUUGCCCUAACCCUAAACAUUAAUUUUUUUUAAACAGUAUAAUUAGGCAAAUAAGACACCAAAAUUUAGGUGGAACAUAAAUAGUUAAUGAAAGUUAACAAAAGCAAAUAAUGCCAGCAAACAAAGUGGCACGGAAUAUAAGGGGUUAACACAAGGAAAAUUUAAACAGUAAAAGGCAAAUUAAGAAUCACUAAAAAGUACAAGUACAGGGAAUACAAGGGAUUAAUUGAAAAUAAAACCUCAAGAGGCAAAGUAAAAUCA